UACGAAGGGGGCUAGCGUUGUUCGGAAUUACUGGGCGUAAAGCGCACGUAGGCGGAUUGGUCAGUUAGGGGUGAAAUCCUGGAGCUCAACUCCAGAACUGCCUUUAAUACUGCCAGUCUCGAGUCCGGAAGAGGUAAGUGGAACUCCUAGUGUAGAGGUGGAAUUCGUAGAUAUUAGGAAGAACACCAGUGGCGAAGGCGGCUUACUGGUCCGGUACUGACGCUGAGGUGCGAAAGCGUGGGGAGCAAACAGG
rnacentral:rRNA from 1 species